rnacentral:rRNA from 1 species
AUUGAACGCUGGCGGCAGGCCUAACACAUGCAAGUCGAACGAGUGGCGGACGGGUGAGUAAUGUCUGGGAAACUGCCUGAUGGAGGGGGAUAACUACUGGAAACGGUAGCUAAUACCGCAUACCAUCGGAUGUGCCCAGAUGGGAUUAGCUAGUAGUUGGGGUAAAGGCUCACCUAGGCGACGAUCUCUAGCUGGUCUGAGAGGAUGACCAACCAAACUGGAACUGAGACACGGUCCAGACUCCUACGGGAGGCAGCAGGGGUGAAUAUUGCACGAUGGGCGCAAGCCUGAUUCAGCCAUGCCGCGUGUAUGAAGAAGGACUUCGGGUUGUAAAGUACUUUCAGCGGGGAGGCGUUACCCGCAGAAGAAGCACCGGCUAACUCCGUGCCAGCAGCCGCGAUAAUAC